UCCUACGGGAGGCAGCAGUGGGGAAUAUUGGACAAUGGGGGCAACCCUGAUCCAGCCAUGCCGCGUGUGUGAAGAAGGCCUUUUGGUUGUAAAGCACUUUAAGCAGGGAGGAGAGGCUAAUGGUUAAUACCCAUUAGAUUAGACGUUACCUGCAGAAUAAGCACCGGCUAACUUCGUGCCAGCAGCCGCGGUA
rnacentral:rRNA from 1 species